rnacentral:rRNA from 1 species
UACGGAGGAUCCGAGCGUUAUCCAGAUUUAUUGGGUUUAAAGGGUGCGCAGGCGGGAGAUUAAGUCGGCGGUGAAAUUUUGCAGCUUAACUGUAAAAGUGCCAUCGAUACUGGUUUCCUUGAGUGUAGAUGAAGUAGGCGGAAUUUGUGGUGUAGCGGUGAAAUGCUUAGAUAUCACGAGGAACUCCGAUUGCGCAGGCAGCUUACUAAACCACUACUGACGCUCAUGCACGAAGGCGUGGGGAUCAAACAGGAUUAGAUA